rnacentral:lncRNA from 1 species
UGAUUUUAAAAAAACGAGGCAGAAAGAGAGGGAUAAAAAGAUUUUCUAUAUAUACUUAAGAGAAGCUGCAGAGCCUUUGGAGAAAAAGAGGGAAAAGAUCACUCUAAGAUUGUGCGACGAGCCGAGAAGAAAAACACUAGCAGCGAUUUUCUAAAGUCUUUAACAGCCAUAACAAUGGUGAGAAACACAAGAUCAGGCCCAGUGAAGAGCAAGCUUCCUACGACGGAUCCGAAUCGACCUCAUCUGGUGGAUGAAAGCGAUGAAGAUCUUGAUUAGAAUCUAAGAGUCGUUACCUAC